UCGUUUAAUAAAUAGGCGUUGCCUCGUGUUGACAGAUUUAUUCGAUGACAAGAAUCGUGAUUGACAUUAAUUCAAUAGAUUGAUUUAAAAGCGUUAGAUUAUUAUGUUUAAGUCAGUUUUUCAGCAGAAUCGAAGUGAGAAAGAAGUUAUUUUGUUAUCGUUUUUCUGUCUCUAAAUCCGCUUACCUGGAGAAUCUGCUAACCCGUAAAGUGAGACUGUUGUAACGACCCGCCACAGAAAUCGAAUAAUUAUUAAAGCUUGGCUUAAUAUUA
rnacentral:lncRNA from 1 species